UGGGGAAUUUUGGACAAUGGGCGAAAGCCUGAUCCAGCAAUGCCGCGUGUGUGAAGAAAGCCUUCGGGUUGUAAAGCACUUUUGUCCGGAAAGAAAUCCUUGGCUCUAAUACAGUCGGGGGAUACGGUACCGGAAGAAUAAGCACCGGGCUAACUACGUGCCAGCAGCCGCGGUAAUACGUAGGGUGCAAGCGUUAAUCGGAAUUACUGGGCGUAAGCGUGCGCAGGCGGUUUGCUAAGACCGAUGUGAAAUCCCGGGCUCAACCUGGGAACUGCAUUGGUGACUGGGCAGGCUAGAGUAUGGCAGAGGGGGGUAAAUUCCACGUGUAGCAGUGAAAUGCGUAGAGAUGUGGAGGAAUACCGAUGGCGAAGGAGCCCCCCUGGGGCCAAUACUGACGCUCAUGCACGAAAGCGUGGGGAGCAAACAGGAUUA
rnacentral:rRNA from 1 species